CCCCUAACGUUGUCCUGGUGUUCAUGAACUUCAGUAGUCCUUGCUAACUUCCAUGAAUGUUUCUUUAAUUAUUCAGGUUUUAGUAUGACUGUAUCACCUUCUUUGAUUGAGUUGGUAUAAGACUUCACCAUUUUCUGCUAUCACUUAAUUCAUUUAAAUGUUCUUGUCCAAUAACAUUUCAGGAAUUUUUUUCUUGCCAACCACAUGUUACUGUAGGAUAACGUGGACAAGAUUGGUUCAUUCGAAGUGCUUAUUACACCCUUUUGACGACCAUGAAUUAAGAGGUUUGGAGUAAUAGCUGAAGGUGACAUGGAAUCCUGAUCGGAAACUUCCACUGUCACUCUGGUCUGGAUAAUACAUAAUCUAUUGGUGAAUGGCCAUGAAAGGUAUCUUCUUGAAUCUUAUCAAACUUGACUUUAGAAAAAAGCUCCUUUAUAUAGUUUUUGGCUUUUUAAAAACUUGUUGCGUUGUCUGAAUAAAAUCUGGAUAGUCUACCACAAUUUCCAACAAAUCGUCAAAAAUGGCAUCGUCGAAAUUUAAUCUUGAGCAUGGCAUUGCAACUUGUAUAUCUAUUGCUCUAGUGUGAAAACAUAUAAAGAGUACAAGCCAUAUCUUUAGAGGUUAUUUAUGCAUUUCACAAUCAUUUAUGCAUGAUAAAGAUCCCAAGUAGUCUACUCCAACAUUAGACCAUGGAAUUAGAAUAUCAAUUCGCAUAGUGGGAAGUGGUGACAUUUUUGGUGAUUCAAACUUUAUGUGCCAACAUCUAGGUGUCCUAUAAGAUUUUAUAAUAAUAUAAGCUUGACAUGUGUAUCAGGAAAAUAGUAGUAGUGAGGGGUGUUAAUAUCAAAUUUUAUAAUAAUUUCCAUUUGUUUUUUUCAACAUAUAGCUACGUAUUUAUCGUUUCGAUAAUAAAUUUUAUAUAUUCCAUAGAUCAAAAAGUAAUUUGUACUACAGGAUCCAUCUGGACGUAUGACCCUCACUUCUUUCCAAUUUAUAUAGUAGGGACAAUCUUUUUGUAAAUAGCUAAUAUUAAUAAAUGUGUGUCAAGGAUGUUCCUUCGCCUGCAUUAUUUCGAAACCUUCUUCCAGAUGUUAAACCUAUCAUAACAAAGUCAUGAAAACGUUCAGAAGAGGAUAGAGAGUCUAUUUAUCAAGAAAAGAAGAGAUUAAUGGACGAGGAAAUUAUCGAUCCCAAUUCAUCAUCAUGGAACCCAAAUGCUGAUUACUGAAAAUGACAGAA
rnacentral:lncRNA from 1 species